rnacentral:rRNA from 1 species
GGCUAGGGGGCCAUCCCGGCUUACCAACCCGAUGCAAACUGCGAAUACCGGAGAAUGUUAUCACGGGAGACACACGGCGGGUGCUAACGUCCGUCGUGAAGAGGGAAACAACCCAGACCGCCAGCUAAGGUCCCAAAGUCAUGGUUAAGUGGGAAACGAUGUGGGAAGGCCCAGACAGCCAGGAUGUUGGCUUAGAAGCAGCCAUCAUUUAAAGAAAGCGUAAUAGCUCACUGGUCGAGUCGGCCUGCGCGGAAGAUGUAACGGGGCUAAACCAUGCACCGAAGCUGCGGCAGCGACACUGUGUGUUGUUGGGUAGGGGAGCGUUCUGUAAGCCUGUGAAGGUGUGUCGUGAGGCAUGCUGGAGGUAUCAGAAGUGCGAAUGCUGACAUAAGUAACGAUAAAGCGGGUGAAAAGCCCGCUCGCCGGAAGACCAAGGGUUCCUGUCCAACGUUAAUCGGGGCAGGGUGAGUCGACCCCUAAGGCGAGGCCGA